rnacentral:lncRNA from 1 species
CUUUAAAUAGAUAACAUGAAGGGUAUGGAAGACAGUGAGAUAUGCAUCUUUGGUGUUCAUCCAGCCAUCGUGCUUCAUCCUGGUGAUAGCCUCAAUUGCCACCUUGGGUUAAUAAUUAUGAAACUGUUGAAAGAUUGCAAGAUCACAUAAGGAACCCCCCUGAAUGUCUGAAGAUCUCUCUGGCUGCAACUGAACCAGUAAAGGAAAGGGUGAUACUGAGCCUUCCCGGGUACUGCAAUUCAAUUGUGCAUGCUGUUCAAUUGCUGGAAGGGUUUCUGGCAUGCUGGAGGCCUUUUCCAAAUAGUUCUACCGAAUCGUGGUUUUGUUUGGGGAGGGGACAUGAGGUGAGGGCCAUUCUCAAACAGUUUUCUGGAUGUUACCAUUUUGUUUUGAAG